ensembl:snRNA U4 U4 spliceosomal RNA
AGCUCGGUGCAGUGGCAGUAUGGUAGCCAGUGAGGUUUAUCCAAGGUGCGACUAUUGCUAACUGAUAAACUGACGUCUUAAAAUUGAAACCAAAAAUAUGUACUUGUAAUUUACA